rnacentral:lncRNA from 1 species
GACUUUCUGGAAUUCUACCUGGAGUAUUUCCCUGAGCUGAAGAAGAAGGGAGUGGAUUCCAUCCCAGGUAAGCAGAGAAACUGGACUGCUAGCUUCCAAGAACUCAGAGAAGACAGGAAAACAUGGCAUCAUAGAUUCCUGGUGAAUUGCCAUUUGGAGAGCCAGCCCAGGACCCGGGCCCUGUUCCGUAGAAAGACUGGGGUGGCCGGGGUGGAGUUCCAUGGGCCAGGCUAUGUCUAGUGUGUACAAGACCCUGGACUCAAUCUGGGGAGGAAGGGAGGGAGGGAGAAAGAGAGAGAGAGGGACAGACAGACAGACAGACUUCAACUUCCUGGAUUGGCAGUGUAGUUUAGUUGGUAGAACGCUUGCUUGUCAUAUAUGAGAACCUGGUUUGACGCGCCCCCCC